rnacentral:rRNA from 1 species
AAAUAUUUCAAUUUUCUUUCACAAUACUAUUACACUAUAAUUAAAAUUAUUUUUUCUUUAUUAAAUACUAAAACAAAACUAUAUAUAAUUAUUUUUAAUAAUUUAAAUCUUAAAAAUCAUAAAUUAAUAAAUAAAAUAUAAUCAAUUUAUAUUGAUUUGCACAAAAAUUUUUUCAAUGUAAAUGAAAUGCUUUACUUAAUAAGCUUUAAAUUGCAUUCUAGGUACACUUUCCAGUACAUCUACUAUGUUACGACUUAUCUUACCUUAAUAGUAAGAGUGACGGGCGAUGUGUGCAUAUUUUAGAGCUAAAAUCAAAUUAUUAAUCUUUAUAAUUUUACUAUCAAAUCCACCUUCAAUAAACAUUUCAAAUUUAUAUUCAUAUAAAUAAAUUUAUUGUAACCCAUUUCUACUUAAACAUAAGCUACACCUUGAUCUGAUAUAUUUUCUUUUUAAAAAUCAUGAAAAUUAACAUUCUUAUAAAAUAUUCUAAUAACGACGGUAUAUAAACUGAUUACAAAUUUAAGUAAGGUCCAUCGUGGAUUAUCGAUUAUAGAACAGGUUCCUCUGAAUAGACUAAAAUACCGCCAAAUUUUUUAAGUUUCAAGAACAUAACUA